CAAAAACAUAGCUAUCAGAAAAAAUUAAUGAUGGUGAAACCUGCUCCAUGAAAAUAGCUGCGGUAACCGUGACCGUACUAAGGUAGCAUAAUAAAUCGUCUACUAAUUGUAGAAUAGAAUGAAGGUCACACGAAAAUUCAACUGUCUCAAAAAAACACUUGUGAAAAUAAAAAAUACGUGAAUAUACGUAUACUAACGGCAAGACGAUAAGACCCUACGAACUUAAUAAUACGUUUCGUUGGGGCAACGACCUUAAAAAAGUAACUAAGGUAAAACCCAUUACACAACUAAUGCAAAAAAAUAAAAGUUCCGUAGGGAUAACAGCGUAAUAUUAUUUCAAGAAAAUCAAUCUUAAAUAAAGAUUGCGACCUCGAU
rnacentral:rRNA from 1 species